rnacentral:misc_RNA from 1 species
UACGUAGGUGGCAAGCGUUGUCCGGAAUUAUUGGGCGUAAAGAGCUCGUAGGCGGUUUGUCGCGUCUGCUGUGAAAGACCGAGGCUCAACUUCGGUUCUGCAGUGGGUACGGGCAGACUAGAGUGCAGUAGGGGAGACUGGAAUUCCUGGUGUAGCGGUGAAAUGCGCAGAUAUCAGGAGGAACACCGAUGGCGAAGGCAGGUCUCUGGGCUGUAACUGACGCUGAGGAGCGAAAGCAUGGGGAGCGAACAGG